rnacentral:ncRNA from 2 species
AAUCAUGAGUACGGAUUUUUAGGCCCUGGCUAAUCCGUCGGCAACCCUCUCGCGUAGGUGGGGUGCCCCAGGUGACGAUUCGGCCGUCGGGAAUGCCGGCGGCAAGCUGCGCCG